GCUCAUUUGUUGAUUUGAAAUUGCCAUUUCACCCUUUACCAGCAAGAAUGCCAUACUGGUUUCAAGAAAUUCAACAAGAAUUAAAACAACACUUUACCAGCAAUGGCUCUCUCCCAUAUCAGAUUCUAUUAGUUGUUCAUGCCCCUAAGCCUCAUCAAUAAUUUGUCUUUUCUUUGCUGUCCGAUCUUCGUUUAUAUUUGAUAAUUUAAGUUAAUUUAUAAGUGGAAGGUUAACAGGAAGUACAUUAAAUAAUAAUAAAGAAACACACUUUCUCUUUCCUCUAGUAUAAAAAAGAAACACACUCUCUCUUUCAUCUAGUCUAAAAAAAAGAUCUAAUUUUCUUCUCAUUAAGGAAAAAUCAGUAUAUUCUCUAUGUAGGUCACAUAAGAAAGUGUUUUGCAAAUGCAUUGUGGCUUUUGAUGUAAUUAAAAAGUGAUAAAGUGCCUCUUGAUGUAAAAAAUUCUGCUUUGAUGAAUCGAAUCAGUUUGGAGUAAGUUCACGAAAAUGUGUGGUGAUUUAAAAUUUUUUUAAUAAAAAAAACUGUAAAAGGGAAGAUGCUCCUCGAUAAACACACUUUGCUUGUCUUGGAGAAUGAAUUUCAGACCCUAGCAUAGCAUUCUGACACAACAAACUCUAGGACAAGGAGUAGGGAGAUAUGGGCAAAAAUGAAUGAAUUUGUUUGGUUUAGUAAAGGUGCAUGCGGCUAAUUAGAUUCCCAAUUAUAGGCAUAGAUGCCAAUUUUCUCUAACUUAUUUUCCUUAUUCAAUUUUUGGGUGAUUUAAUUUUGGAAAAUUCGACAAAAUAGGGAAAAAAUCUACAUUUUGUACUCAUAUACCUUUUCCAAGUUAUGUUAUUUUUCUUUAAAGUACUUUUAACUGAAUAAUUUGUAUCCAAUAAAAAUCAACACAAUUUCUAUCCAGACUUUACUGUGGAUUCCCUUAUUGAUUCCACUACGCGACAAUGGAAUUCGCAGGUUAUUCGGACUUUGGUAGACCCGCAGGAUGUGAAAAUCAUAGAGAGCAUACCACUGAGCCGAAACCAGAUGGUUGAUAGGGAAGGAUGGCAUUUCACAAAUAAUGGGAAAUUUACCGUUAAAUCAGGAUAUCAAGUGGAGAGGAUUUAUCCGGAUAGGGAAAGAUCACCAGUAUUACUUGGACCUACAGUUGAUGUUCUGAAGGCAUUUUGUUGGAAACUAAGGUGUCCACCAAAAAUAAAACAUUUUCUCUGGCAAUUGGUGUCCGGGUGUGUCGCAGUUAAGAAGAAUUUACAGGCGUGGGGGAUCCAGGGAGAUAUAUGUUGUGCAAGAUGUGGAGCGGAUGAGGAGUCGAUUAACCAUGUGUUUUUUGAGUGUCCUCCAGCAAUUCAGGUUUGGGCGCUGUCAAAGAUUCCAACAAAUCCAGCUAUUUUCUCAACAAGCUCUAUAUUUACAAACAUGGAUCAUCUUUUCUGGAGAGUUGCUCCACGGAUAGAGGAUCAUCACUUUGCUUGGAUACUUUGGUACAUUUGGAAAGAAAGAAAUAAUAAGGUUUUUAGUAAUCUGGAUAUAGACCCUAGGGACACUCUUAAGUUGGCGGAAACAGAAUCCACACUCUGGGCAGAGGCACAUAUUUUGAAGGACCAGAACACGGGAACACAGGUUCAGGCAUCUCUGCCGUCAAUUCCUGGAAGAUGGUGCUUUACAGAUGGAUCAUGGAAAGAGGGGGAUAUGUUUUCUGGUCAGGCUGGUUCAGUGCUUUAGAAGGUUUUGAAGGUUUAAUGGGAGUCAGGAAUGUAAGGGCUUCUUUAACUCCCUUGCAUACAGAGAUGGAGGCGCUACUAUGGGCUAUGAAAUGUAUGAAGAAUUUACGUCAAUUCCAGGUUACAUUUGCAACGGAUUGUUCUCAAUUGGUGAAGAUGGUUUCGGAACCAGAAGAGUGGCCAGCUUUUGCAAGUUAUUUGGAAGAUAUCAAGAGUCUGAAAGAGAGCUUCACACGAUCAGAGAUUAUACCUGUACCAAGAACGCAAAAUACAAAGACGGAUAACCUAGCACGCAGUGUCAGGAAAAAAACGUCUUUCGUCGUUCACAUGGAUCAAUAUCUCCCGGUGUGGUUUACAGAGUCAAUAUGAGUCUGUAAUGUUGUCGAC